GAUGAACGCUAGCGGGAGGCCUAACACAUGCAAGCCGAGCGGUAUUGUUUCUUCGGAAAUGAGAGAGCGGCGUACGGGUGCGUAACACGUGUGCAACCUGCCUUUAUCUGGGGGAUAGCCUUUCGAAAGGAAGAUUAAUACUCCAUAAUAUAUUGAACGGCAUCGUUUAAUAUUGAAAGCUCCGGCGGAUAGAGAUGGGCACGCGCAAGAUUAGCUAGUUGGUGAGGUAACGGCUCACCAAGGCGAUGAUCUUUAGGGGGCCUGAGAGGGUGAUCCCCCACACUGGUACUGAGACGCGGACCAGACUCCUACGGGAGGCAGCAGUGAGGAAUAUUGGUCAAUGGGUGCAAGCCUGAACCAGCCAUCCCGCGUGAAGGACGACUGCCCUAUGGGUUGUAAACUUCUUUUGUAUAGGGAUAAACCUACCCUCGUGAGGGUAGCUGAAGGUACUAUACGAAUAAGCACCGGCUAACUCCGUGCCAGCAGCCGCAGUAACAC
rnacentral:rRNA from 1 species